GGCUUAACACAUGCCCGUCGGGGGGAAACGACCUCGAAAGCUUGCUUUUGAUGGGCGUCGACCGGCGCACGGGUGAGUAACGCGUAUCCAACCUGCCCACCACUUGGGGAUAACCUUGCGAAAGUAAGACUAAUACCCAAUGACGUCUCUAGAGGACAUCUGAAAGGGAUUAAAGAUUUAUCGGUGAUGGAUGGGGAUGCGUCUGAUUAGCUUGUUGGCGGGGUAACGGCCCACCAAGGCGACGAUCAGUAGGGGUUCUGAGAGGAAGGUCCCCCACAUUGGAACUGAGACACGGUCCAAACUCCUACGGGAGGCAGCAGUGAGGAAUAUUGGUCAAUGGACGAGAGUCUGAACCAGCCAAGUAGCGUGCAGGAUGACGGCCCUAUGGGUUGUAAACUGCUUUUAUAAGGGAAUAAAGUGAGUCUCGUGAGACUUUUUGCAUGUACCUUAUGAAUAAGGACCGGCUAAUUCCGUGCCAGCAGCCGCGGUAGUACGGAAGGUCCGGGCGUUAUCCGGAUUUAUUGGGUUUAAAGGGAGCGUAGGCCGGAGAUUAAGCGUGUUGUGAAAUGUAGAUGCUCAACAUCUGCACUGCAGCGCGAACUGGUUUCCUUGAGUACGCACAAAGUGGGCGGAAUUCGUGGUGUAGCGGUGAAAUGCUUAGAUAUCACGAAGAACUCCGAUUGCGAAGGCAGCUCACUGGAGCGCAACUGACGCUGAAGCUCGAAAGUGCGGGUAUCGAACAGGAUUAGAUACCCUGGUAGUCCGCACGGUAAACGAUGGAUGCCCGCUGUUGGUCUGAAUAGGUCAGCGC
rnacentral:rRNA from 1 species